rnacentral:rRNA from 1 species
GACGAACGCUGGCGGCGUGCUUAACACAUGCAAGUCGAACGGUGAAGCGCUUGCCUUUUUGGUGGGUGUGGAUGAGUGGCGAACGGGUGAGUAACACGUGAGUAACCUGCCCUCUUCUUCUGGAUAACCUCAUGAAAGUGGGGCUAAUACGGGGUAUUCCGGGUCUGUCGCAUGGCGGGUUUGGGAAAGAUUGCGCCUUUGGGUGUUUUCGGUGGGGGAUGGGCUCGCGGCCUAUCAGCUUGUUGGUGGGGUGAUGGCCUACCAAGGCGGUGACGGGUAGCCGGCCUGAGAGGGUGGACGGCCACACUGGGACUGAGACACGGCCCAGACUCCUGCGGGAGGCAGCAGUGGGGAAUAUUGCACAAUGGGCGCAAGCCUGAUGCAGCGACGCCGCGUGAGGGAUGGAGGCCUUCGGGUUGUGAACCUCUUUCGCCAGUGAAGCAGGCCUGCUCCUGUGUGGGUGGGUUGACGGUAGCUGGAUAAGAAGCGCCGGCUAACUACGUGCCAGCAGCCGCGGUAAUACGUAGGGCGCGAGCGUUGUCCGGAAUUAUUGGGCGUAAAGAGCUCGUAGGCGGCUGGUCGCGUCUGUCGUGAAAUCCUCUGGCUUAACUGGGGGCUUGCGGUGGGUACGGGCCGGCUUGAGUGCGGUAGGGGAGGCUGGAACUCCUGGUGUAGCGGUGGAAUGCGCAGAUAUCAGGAAGAACACCGGUGGCGAAGGCGGGUCUCUGGGCCGUUACUGACGCUGAGGAGCGAAAGCGUGGGGAGCGAACAGG